rnacentral:rRNA from 1 species
UGGGGAAUCUUGGACAAUGGGGGAAACCCUGAUCCAGCCAUGCCGCGUGAGUGAUGAAGGCCCUAGGGUCGUAAAGCUCUUUCAACUGUGAAGAUAAUGACGGUAGCAGUAGAAGAAACCCCGGCUAACUCCGUGCCAGCAGCCGCGGUAAUACGGAGGGGGUUAGCGUUGUUCGGAAUUACUGGGCGUAAAGCGCACGUAGGCGGGCUGUUAAGUUAGAGGUGAAAUCCCGGGGCUCAACCCCGGAACUGCCUUUAAUACUGGCAGCCUAGAGUUCGAGAGAGGUGAGUGGAAUUCCGAGUGUAGAGGUGAAAUUCGUAGAUAUUCGGAGGAACACCAGUGGCGAAGGCGGCUCACUGGCUCGAUACUGACGCUGAGGUGCGAAAGUGUGGGGAGCAAACAGGAUUAGAUACCCGUGUAGUCC